GCGGACGUGGCGGAAAUGGCAGACGCACUGGCUUCAGGAGCCAGCGAUCGCAAGAUCAUGUGGGUUCAACUCCCGCCGUCCGCA
rnacentral:tRNA from 1 species